AGCGAACGCUGGCGGCAGGCCUAACACAUGCAAGUCGAACGAACCUUUCGGGGUUAGUGGCGGACGGGUGAGUAACACGUGGGAACGUGCCUUUAGGUUCGGAAUAACUCAGGGAAACUUGUGCUAAUACCGAAUGUGCCCUUCGGGGGAAAGAUUUAUCGCCUUUAGAGCGGCCCGCGUCGGAUUAGCUAGUUGGUUGAGGUAAUGGCUCACCAAGGCGACGAUCAGUAGCUGGUCUGAGAGGAUGAUCAGCCACAUUGGGACUGAGACACGGCCCAAACUCCUACGGGAGGGAGGAGUGGGGAAUCUUGCGCAAUGGGCGAAAGCCUGACGCAGCCAUGCCGCGUGAAUGAUGAAGGUCUUAGGAUUGUAAAAUUCUUUCACCGGGGACGAUAAUGACGGUACCCGGAGAAGAAGCCCCGGCUAACUUCGUG
rnacentral:rRNA from 1 species